rnacentral:rRNA from 1 species
AUUGAACGCUGGCGGUAGGCCUAACACAUGCAAGUCGAACGAGUGGCGGACGGGUGAGUAAUGUCUGGGAAACUGCCUGAUGGAGGGGGAUAACUACUGGAAACGGUAGCUAAUAACGCAUACCAUCGGAUGUGCCCAGAUGGGAUUAGCUAGUAGGUGGGGUAAAGGCUCACCUAGGAGACGAUCCCUAGCUGGUCUGAGAGGAUGACCAGUCACAAUGGAACUGAGACACGGUCCAGACUCCUACGGGAGGCAGCAGUGGGGAAUAUUGCACAAUGGGCGAAAGCCUGAUGCAGCCAUGCCGCGUGUAUGAAGAAGGCCUUCGGGUGGUAAAGUACUUUCAGCGGGGAGGCGUUACCCGCAGAAGAAGCACCGGCUAACUCCGUGCCAGCAGCCGCGGUAAUUC